GUCUUUAUGGAGAUUUAUAAAGUCUGGCCUGCCCAGUGGGAAUAUCUAAAAGGCCGCGGUAUAUUGACCGUGCAAAGGUAGCAUAAUAAUUAGGUUUUUAAUUGGAAUCUUGAAUGAAAGGUUAGACAAAAGAAAGUCUGUCUUGAAAUAUAUUAAUUGAAAUUUACUUUUAAGUGAAAAGGCUUAAAUUUUCUGGUGGGACGAUAAGACCCUAUAAAACUUUAUAUUAAUUUUAAUUUAAUUUAAAUUAUUUAUAAAAUUUAAGAUUAUUUAUUUAUUUUGUUGGGGCGACAAGAGUAUAAUUUUUUUAACUGCUUUUAUAAAAAUCAUAGAUAAGUGAAAGAAAGAUCCUUUAUAAAGAUUAAGAGAUUAAGUUACUUUAGGGAUAACAGCGUAAUUUUUUUUAAGAGUUCUUAUUGAAAAAAAAGUUUGCGACCUCGAUGUUGAAUUAUAAAAUCUAUUUAAUGCAGCCGUUAAAUAAGAAAGUCUGUUCGACUUUUAAUUUUUUACAUGAUUUGAGUUCAAACCGGUGUGAG
rnacentral:rRNA from 1 species